GGUUUUUGGAAAAAAGGGAAUUUUAGGACCAUUUUUGGAAUUUUAGGAUCAUUUUUGGUAAAAGGGAAUUUUAGGAGCAUUUUGGGAAAAAAGGGAAUUUUAGCAUCAUUUUUAGAAAAUUUUAGGGUCAUUUUUAGAAAAAAAGGGAAUUUUGGGAUCAUUUUUGGUAAAAUGAAAUUUUAGGAUAAUUUUUGGAAUUUUAGCAUCAUUUUUGGAAAAGGGAAAAAAACCCCAAAAGUCACAAAUUUACAAUCCAAAAGUCCAUUUUUUUGAUGAAAAAAAUCCUAAAAAUUCACAAAUUCACUGUCCAAAACUCCAUUCCCUCAUGGAAAAAAAAAAUAAAAAUAAAAAUAAGGCAGGGAAAAUAAAAAAAAUCCAAAAAAAUAAAAUAAAAAAAUAAAAUAAAAUAAAAUCCUCAAACAUCCCUGAAUUCCAAAUUUUCCUGAUGGAGAUGAAAAUCUCAAUAAAAUCUCCUGCAGGAUGGGGAGAUUUAUUAUAUUUAUAUUGAUUUUUGGGAUAUUUAUAUGGAUUUUGCAUUUUUUUAUUUUUCCUGCCUUAUUUCUUUUAUUUUUCCUGCAUUAUUUUUAUUUUUCCUGCCUCAAAUUUUUUAUUUUUCCUGCUUUAUUUUUUUAUUUUUCCUGCCUCAUAUUUUUAUUUAUAUUUUUCCUGCCUCAUUUUUAUUUAUUUUUCCUGCCUUAUUUUUAUUUUUCCUGA
rnacentral:lncRNA from 1 species